GCCACAGCCAUAUCACCCUGCAGCCCAAGACUGGUUGCCCACUGAAGCUAAGUAGGUUUGAGCCUGGUUAGUACCUGGAUGGGAGACCUCCUGGGAAAACUAGGUUGCUGCUGGAA
rnacentral:rRNA from 1 species